UACGGGGGGGGCAAGCGUUGUUCGGAAUUACUGGGCGUAAAGGGCUCGGUAGGUGGCCAACUAAGUCAGACGUGAAAUCCCUCGGCUUAACCGGGGAACUGCGUCUGAUACUGGAUGGCUUGAGUUUGGGAGAGGGAUGCGGAAUUCCAGGUGUAGCGGUGAAAUGGCGUAGAUAUCUGGAGGAACACCGGUGGCGAAGGCGGCAUCCUGGACCAACACGUGACACUGAGGACGCGAAAGCCAGGGGAGCAACGGG
rnacentral:rRNA from 1 species